rnacentral:rRNA from 1 species
CAGUCGAACGCGUCUUGGUUAUUGAUGUUAGAUGCUUGCAUUUAACUGAUUUAACAUUGAGACGAGUGGCGAACUGGUGAGUAACACGUGGGUAACCUGCCCUUGAAGUAGGGGAUAACACUUGGAAACAGGUGCUAAUACCGUAUAACAACCAAAACCACCUGGUUUUGGUUUAAAAGAUGGCUUCGGCUAUCACUUUAGGAUGGACCCGCGGCGUAUUAGCUUGUUGGUAAGGUAACGGCCUACCAAGGCAAUGAUACGUAGCCGACCUGAGAGGGUAAUCGGCCACAUUGGGACUGAGACACGGCCCAAACUCCUACGGGAGGCAGCAGUAGGGAAUCUUCCACAAUGGACGAAAGUCUGAUGGAGCAACGCCGCGUGAGUGAUGAAGGGUUUCGGCUCGUAAAACUCUGUUGUUGGAGAAGAACAGGUGUGAGAGUAACUGUUCACAUCUUGACGGUAUCCAACCAGAAAGCCACGGCUAACUACGUGCCAGCAGCCGCGGUAAUACGUAGGUGGCAAGCGUUGUCCGGAUUUAUUGGGCGUAAAGCGAGCGCAGGCGGUUUCUUAGGUCUGAUGUGAAAGCCUUCGGCUUAACCGGAGAAGUGCAUCGGAAACCAGGAGACUUGAGUGCAGAAGAGGACAGUGGAACUCCAUGUGUAGCGGUGAAAUGCGUAGAUAUAUGGAAGAACACCAGUGGCGAAGGCGGCUGUCUGGUCUGUAACUGACGCUGAGGCUCGAAAGCAUGGGUAGCGAACAGGAUUAGAUACCCUGGUAGUCCAUGCCGUAAACGAUGAGUGCUAAGUGUU